rnacentral:rRNA from 1 species
AUUGAACGCUGGCGGCAGGCCUAACACAUGCAAGUCGAGCGGAUGACGGGAGCUUGCUCCUUGAUUCAGCGGCGGACGGGUGAGUAAUGCCUAGGAAUCUGCCUGGUAGUGGGGGAUAACGUUUCGAAAGGAACGCUAAUACCGCAUACGUCCUACGGGAGAAAGCAGGGGACCUUCGGGCCUUGCGCUAUCAGAUGAGCCUAGGUCGGAUUAGCUAGUUGGUGGGGUAAUGGCUCACCAAGGCGACGAUCCGUAACUGGUCUGAGAGGAUGAUCAGUCACACUGGAACUGAGACACGGUCCAGACUCCUACGGGAGGCAGCAGUGGGGAAUAUUGGACAAUGGGCGCAAGCCUGAUCCAGCCAUGCCGCGUGUGUGAAGAAGGCCUUCGGGUUGUAAAGCACUUUCAGCGAGGAGGAAGGGUGGUGUGUUAAUAGCACAUCAUUUUGACGUUACUCGCAGAAGAAGCACCGGCUAACUCUGUGCCAGCCGCCGCGGUAAGAC